rnacentral:lncRNA from 1 species
AAAGCAAAGUCACAUCGUUGUCUAGUAGACGAAUUCUUGUUUUAGUCAGCAAGGGAGCAUGCUCACAAACACGAAAAAAUAAGAACGAUUCCAGUCAGUCAAUCACUUUUUAAGACUAACCGGUGAAUAUCUGCACAUACGUAAUUUUUUGCUCUUACGGUGCGAUAUGAAUAGAUCUCACGACCGAGGUUAUUAGCUGUGCGCGUACCAAACAAACAGGGAACGAUGCGCUUUUGCGUUUUCAGGGUGAUUUUGCUGGUAUCUGUAAUUGGAUUCUCAAGAGGACAAUGGAGAUAUAGAGAAAUCAACGACUUGUAUGACGCGGGUGAACUGGAACCAGGAGACGUCCUCCGCAGUAACGUCAAGGGGAACUACCAUCUCAUCGGGCACAACAGCUUCAUGUACAAAAUGCCGGCCGCGGUCAACAAAUUCGCCUACGACGUCCGCUGGUACUCCUUCAAGCUCCCUCUACGCAUGGGAGACGACCAUCUCUUGGUCGAGAAAAUUGGCAAAGCCACCGAUGCAGAAAGGAGCAUAGCGCUGGCGAGAAAGCUCUCCGAAAAUUACGUGCCGUACCACGUCAUUCGCUGCACUAAAAAAAUGUACUGGAAAUACAUCCUGUGGGGCGAGGGGCCCUCGGAAAAGUUGGUACCGCUAUUUGUCAUGCGCUCGUGCCCACUAGCGGCACCUUUGGAAGGGGUGACCGCUCAUGACGUCACCACAGGGCGAUUCAAGUUCACGGAUUUCCAGGGUCGGAAUGAGGACGAAUCACAUGCCAUCUCGCCGGUGCCCGCCAGCAGAACUAGGUUUUUUAAAGUGGGUCAUCUUUUGUGGGCACUCGGGCGGGAGGGGCGGGUGAGUCGGGUUCCAUCCGAGUUGAGACGUAAGAAGAGACACUCCAUGUCUGACAAGGAUCGCAAUUAUCCGUCCUCAUCCUUCGCUUCUGCUGUGUCCUUCGACGCGGUGAGUGAAGGGAGUUCGCCAUCGACGACGUCCAGGUCCACGUCAAGUCCCGUCGUGGCGGAGAAGACUCCGAAACCGAAAUUAUCCAAACAGCUCUAUCUAUCACUGUCGAUGAAAAAACUUCAAGAAGAGCUCCAAGAUAAACUCACAAGCAGAUCCAGGGGUGAAAGCAAAAGUCGGGGUGAUAAAAACUCGAAUGGGUCACUAGGCAAGGUCUGAACCAGGAAUAAACGGCGAUUAGACUUUAUUUUCCAGUUAGGAACUGCAAUUUCUGGAUCCUCCGUAAAAGCACUUAUCUGCAUAUGGAAAUUAAUGGCACAUACGUUCUUUCUAAAAUGAGCUGAAAAUUGUAGUUCCUCGUUGCAAAAUGUAGCCAGUUGUUUUCUCUUCAAAAUUUUGCGGGUAAAACGAUUCAUCGGAAAGUUCGGUGAUCACCUUUUGAACAAGAUAAUAACAAAUAUUCUUAUCAGAGAUUACGUGGCAUUAAAAGUUUACAAUCAUUUGUAUUUUCGCCAUGUAAGCAAUGUUAUAAUUGUCAACACUUUUAUCUUACUUAGGGGUUGACUUCCAAACCUCUUGUUGUGUGAUUCGUUUUCCUCAAGCGACUUUGACGAGGAAACAUGCUGCAUGAUCGUGCCGAUUGGAUCACUUUUUGCAAUUAGGAACUGAAAUUUGAGCUCAAUAUUAAUACAAAACAGUACCCCUAUGUAGAUAAGUGUUUUUAUAUAUGAGCCAGAAAUUGUAGUUCCGAACUGCAAAAUGCAGUCCAACUCAUAACUUGUCUUGAGGCCCACUCUGAACAAACUACUACGAGAUAAGUAAAAUGUGUGAUUCCUGUAGGUACAGAUUUAACUCUUGUAUGUAUAUAUGUGUGUAAGUGUGUGUGUGUGGGGGGGGGGGUGUCCACACCAAACAGAGGUAUGUCAGUCCGAGAUGAAACGAAAAUGAAGCCCAUUUAGCGGAUGAGCCUCCGUUUUUUUUGAAUUCCUCAUUUUCAUGCCGUUGUAAUAUACAUUUACUUCACCGACAAAUACAUAUUUUAUCGUUGAUUGAUGUCUUGUUCAAAAUUUAGUUUUGAAAACAAGAAAAAAACGAUUUUACACACGAGGAGAACAGUAAUGAAACAGCAGAAUAGGGCGCAGAAACACACGAUUUCGACGGCAAAUCGUCACUCAUCUGGGCGUAUGAUCGCACAUCUCGAUUUCCGUAUGAGCCCCAGGAAUAAUGAAAUUAUACGCAAAAACCCUGUGUCACACUAUCAAAAUCCUCCAUCAAAAUAUCAAGGUUGGGUGUUGUAAUUGGCUUAUAUGAUGACUUGGGCCAAUCACAGUACUUGACCUUGACAUUUUGAGGAGUAUUUUGAUAGUGUGACACAAGCUAACGGAGUGACGAAAUGUGACGUCGCUGUUACGCUUUUUGAUGAUUAUGCCCGUAUCCAAGCACAAUGACUUCGGGGGAGUUCCUCAGGGCGUUAUGGCAACAAUUAAAGAAGAUAAUGUGCAUUAUUCAUCUGAUUACUCUUCCAAGUGACGGCGACGUACUUUUGCCGAGUCCAGCUUUAAGAACUGAAACCUGAGACGGGGAAAAACUCCCAUCUUCGUUAUCUCGAAGAAAAAGAAGAGCAAAAGGAAGGGAAGAAACACUCCGUUGGCCAGAGCUCUCUAAUUUGAUAGUCUGCGGUGCGUCGCAAUAAGAGGCAGGAACAGAUGCAUGAAGUAGAGUAAAAAUGAAACCAUUCAUUGAAAUCAUUCAGAUCGCUGUAGAUUUAGAUCUACCGACGACAGUGCAAUCAUUGGAGUUUUUUGAUUAGCGUGUAUAAUUAAUCAAUUAAUAUGAUGUCUUUCGAUUCGAUUAAUUUAUUGAGUUUUGAAUCUUCGGCUCACUCUUUAUAUUUAUGGCUACGACAGGACUGUGUGAAUUUUUCUGGUACUGAAUUCUCACACUCCAAUCAUAGAUCUACUCCCCUACAAUCAACAGAAAUACAAACCCACUUACAUGUGAUGAACCCAAUAUUACCACCAAAAUUCUAAAACUCUUCGCCUCUCUUAAUUUAAAAAUCUAAAUUUUCGUUUAUACUCCCAUUUUCGAAAUUAUCUGUAAAGACGUUUAUAGCCUGAGACGCUGAAUGCCUUAAAAUUAUACUAACUAACUAACUGUUUGCGCGAAUGUUCAAUAUUCAACGAGUAUAAGCGCGCGUUACUCUGGAAACCUUUGUAGUUUGUGGUAGAUAACUACAUCGCAAAGGACUGUUCAUUCCCUCCUCACUUAUUACAUGCAUGUCUUUCUUCGAUGGAUAGCCCUCGCAGCGCGAAUGGCCCAGAACUUUCAUAGACAUCUGAAAAGUGAACUAGGGGCAUGUGACCGCUACGCGGCCCCCAAACUCUGAAAAAGACCACACGUAAAAAAUCGUAGAACAACCAUGUUCAAGUUUUUUAAGAGAUGAAUGGAUUCAAACCCGACGGGUGCACCCGUAAGGAAGCGUAUAUUUAUCUCUGAUUGCAACAGUAUGUACCACUUU